GUGGACACUCUCAACGUUCCCAAGAUUUCGAGACAAUGAUAAACGCCACAGUAACGGCCUCAGUGGAGAAGGUUCUGUUAUGAACUCUACCCCACACCGCUUGAUGGAGACCUCAGGCCCACAAGCCUUCAAGUCAAAACGGCAAGGGAAGGGCUCCAGCCCCCCUGCCACUAAGGUCAAGGGCAAGAUGCCCAUCGAACAGACCAAAUAGGCGGAACACCGGGAAUCCAAACCCCGUCCGCCACAAUCUUCCGACAAAAAAGACUAUUACCCACUGAAGCAACUUUCAGCCAAACUAGCCUUCUUAUUAUGCCUCGUCUCAUUUAGACGGUGGCGGACGUUAGGGCUUGCGAUAUGGAUGGUUUCUCUCUCACACCAGACGGGGUUACCGUUACCAUGUCGAGACAAACUAAGUCUGAUUCGUCUUCAGUGUCAUACCCAUGCUUUGUGUCAGACGCCACACUAUGCGUGGUCAGAACGCUAAUGGGGUACACCAAUAUCUCUACCCCCUUCGAACUCACUCGACGGAUCACCUUCUGACUUCUUACGUAAACCCUCAUGGACCGCUGUCUACCGCAA